GUGCUCACUUCAGCAGCAUAUAUACUAAAUUUGGAACAAUACCGAGAAGAUUAGCAUGGCCCUUGCACAAGGAUGACAUACAAAUUCAUCAAAUGUUCCAUAUAUUU